rnacentral:rRNA from 1 species
AGCGAACGCUGGCGGCAGGCCUAACACAUGCAAGUCGAACGGGAUCCUAGCUUGCUAGGUGAGAGUGGCGGACGGGUGAGUAACACGUGGGAAUCUGCCUUUUGGUUCGGGAUAACCGCGGGAAACUGCGGCUAAUACCGAAUGCCCUCGAGAGAGGAAAGAUUUAUCGCCAGAAGAGGAGCCCGCGUCCGAUUAGGUAGUUGGUGGGGUAAAGGCCUACCAAGCCGACGAUCGGUAGCUGGUCUGAGAGGAUGAUCAGCCACACUGGGACUGAGAUACGGCCCAGACUCCUACGGGAGGCAGCAGUGGGGAAUAUUGGACAAUGGGCGAAAGCCUGAUCCAGCAAUGCCGCGUGAGUGAUGAAGGCCUUAGGGUUGUAAAGCUCUUUUACCCGGGAUGAUAAUGACAGUACCGGGAGAAUAAGCUCCGGCUAACUCCGUGCCAGCAGCCGCGGU